AACACACGCAAGUCGAACGAAGCACUUUCUUUAGAUUCUUCGGAUGAAGAAGACUGUGACUGAGUGGCGGACGGGUGAGUAACGCGUGGGCAACCUGCCCUGUACAGGGGGAUAACAGUUAGAAAUGACUGCUAAUACCGCAUAAGCGCACGAGGACGCAUGUUCUUGUGUGAAAAACUCCGGUGGUACAGGAUGGGCCCGCGUCUGAUUAGGUAGUUGGUGGGGCAGCGGCCUACCAAGCCGACGAUCAGUAGCCGACCUGAGAGGGUGACCGGCCACAUUGGGACUGAGACACGGCCCAAACUCCUACGGGAGGCAGCAGUGGGGAAUAUUGCACAAUGGGGGAAACCCUGAUGCAGCGACGCCGCGUGAAGGAAGAAGUAUUUCGGUAUGUAAACUUCUAUCAGCAGGGAAGAAACUGACGGUACCUGACUAAGAAGCACCGGCUAAAUACGUGCCAGCAGCCGCGGUAAUACGUAUGGUGCAAGCGUUAUCCGGAUUUACUGGGUGUAAAGGGAGCGUAGACGGAGAGGCAAGUCUGAAGUGAAAGCCCGGGGCUCAACCCCGGGACUGCUUUGGAAACUGCAGUUCUAGAGUGCCGGAGAGGUAAGCGGAAUUCCUAGUGUAGCGGUGAAAUGCGUAGAUAUUAGGAGGAACACCAGUGGCGAAGGCGGCUU
rnacentral:rRNA from 1 species